rnacentral:rRNA from 1 species
UACGAAGGGGGCUAGCGUUGCUCGGAAUCACUGGGCGUAAAGCGCACGUAGGCGGAUCUUUAAGUCAGAGGUGAAAUCCCAAGGCUCAACCUUGGAACUGCCUUUGAUACUGGGGAUCUCGAGUCCGGAAGAGGUGAGUGGAACUGCGAGUGUAGAGGUGAAAUUCGUAGAUAUUCGCAAGAACACCAGUGGCGAAGGCGGCUCACUGGUCCGGUACUGACGCUGAGACGCGAAAGCGUGGGGAGCGAACAGG